rnacentral:rRNA from 1 species
CAGCAGCCGCGGGAAUACGUAGGGUGCAAGCGUUAAUCGGAAUUACUGGGCGUAAAGCGUGCGCAGGCGGUUAUAUAAAACAGAUGUGAAAUCCCCGGGCUCAACCUGGGAACUGCAUUUGUGACUGUAUAGCUAGAGUACGGCAGAGGGGGAUGGAAUUCCGCGUGUAGCAGUGAAAUGCGUAGAUAUGCGGAGGAACACCGAUGGCGAAGGCAAUCCCCUGGGCCUGUACUGACGCUCAUGCACGAAAGCGUGGGGAGCAAACAGGAUUAGAUACCCGCGUAGUCCCUGUCUCUUAUAC